GGAUAUUCAACAUAGCACAUUAUUAAUAUUUGUUUAUUAGUUCCUAUUUAAGAAAGUAGUGUCCUGGAUUUCCAACAUUAGUAAAAUGGUUGGAGAGGCUUAGCUGUGAGCUUACAAGUACACAUCAAGUAAGCACCAGAUCAGAAGAGAAUUUGGUAUUCUGCCACUGUUCAAGUCCUAUGUUGCAAAGUUAGCUUUAAGAUAUUUCUUUAGAUUACUUGAUAAUAACAGUGCUUUAUCAGGUAUUUCCUGUUAACCAGUCAAUCAAGUGACUACCUGAAGACAGCAAAUGAUGAUUAUUUCCAGCUGAGCGUAUUAACGUACCUAUUUCUAGGCAAUCAAGAAUAGUCAAUUAAAGUAAUCAGGAUAUGGAAUUGAAAGAAACAGAAUAAGGUCUGUGUCCUGUAACCUGUAUCAGUUAUGAAAAUACAACAUUCCCACCGUAUUAAAUAAAAGUUUAGGCCAUGCUUAAAUUCAGAGGCAAUUAAAAUUGCUGUUAUGGAUUUUAAAAGCCCUUAGGCAACAUGAGUUAAAGAUUAGGAAAAGUGUUUUUUGUAAGAAUAAAAUCCCAUGUAUUAUGAAACAUAAAAUUGAGAA
rnacentral:lncRNA from 1 species